rnacentral:rRNA from 1 species
AGAGUUUGAUCCUGGCUCAGGACGAACGCUGGCGGCGCGCCUAACACAUGCAAGUCGAACGAGCGAGAGAGAGCUUGCUUUCUCGAGCGAGUAGCGAACGGGUGAGUAACGCGUGAGGAACCUGCCUCAAAGAGGGGGACAACAGUUGGAAACGACUGCUAAUACCGCAUAAGCCCACGGCUCGGCAUCGAGCAGAGGGAAAAGGAGCAAUCCGCUUUGAGAUGGCCUCGCGUCCGAUUAGCUAGUUGGUGAGGUAAUGGCCCACCAAGGCGACGAUCGGUAGCCGGACUGAGAGGUUGAACGGCCACAUUGGGACUGAGACACGGCCCAGACUCCUACGGGAGGCAGCAGUGGGGAAUAUUGCACAAUGGGGGAAACCCUGAUGCAGCGACGCCGCGUGGAGGAAGAAGGUCUUCGGAUCGUAAACUCCUGUUGUUGAGGAAGAUAAUGACGGUACUCAACAAGGAAGUGACGGCUAACUACGUGCCAGCAGCCGCGGUAAAACGUAGGUCACAAGCGUUGUCCGGAAUUACUGGGUGUAAAGGGAGCGCAGGCGGGAAGACAAGUUGGAAGUGAAAUCCAUGGGCUCAACCCAUGAACUGCUUUCAAAACUGUUUUUCUUGAGUAGUGCAGAGGUAGGCGGAAUUCCCGGUGUAGCGGUGGAAUGCGUAGAUAUCGGGAGGAACACCAGUGGCGAAGGCGGCCUACUGGGCACCAACUGACGCUGAGGCUCGAAAGUGUGGGUAGCAAACAGGAUUAGAUACCCUGGUAGUCCACACUGUAAACGAUGAUUACUAGGUGUUGGAGGAUUGACCCCUUCAGCGCCGCAGUUAACACAAUAAGUAAUCCACCUGGGGAGUACGACCGCAAGGUUGAAACUCAAAGGAAUUGACGGGGGCCCGCACAAGCAGUGGAGUAUGUGGUUUAAUUCGACGCAACGCGAAGAACCUUACCAAGUCUUGACAUCCUGCGACGCACAUAGAAAUAUGUGUUUCCUUCGGGACGCAGAGACAGGUGGUGCAUGGUUGUCGUCAGCUCGUGUCGUGAGAUGUUGGGUUAAGUCCCGCAACGAGCGCAACCCUUAUGGUCAGUUACUACGCAAGAGGACUCUGGCCAGACUGCCGUUGACAAAACGGAGGAAGGUGGGGAUGACGUCAAAUCAUCAUGCCCUUUAUGACCUGGGCUACACACGUGCUACAAUGGACGGUACAACGAGUCGCUAACUCGCGAGGGCAAGCUAAUCUCUUAAAGCCGUUCUCAGUUCGGAUUGCAGGCUGCAACUCGCCUGCAUGAAGUCGGAAUCGCUAGUAAUCGCGAAUCAGCAUGUCGCGGUGAAUACGUUCCCGGGCCUUGUACACACCGCCCGUCACACCAUGAGAGUUUGUAACACCCAAAGUCGGUGGGGUAACCUUUUGGAGCCAGCCGCCUAAGGUGGGACAGAUGAUUGGGGUGAAGUCGUAACAAGGUA